AAGAAUUUAUGCCAAAUCAAGCUCGGUAUUAUGUUUUAUAGACAUCAAAGAUUUCAAUUUUCAAUGGUCCCGUUUUCCCUUUUCGCGGUAAAUGAUUUCGCAAUAAAUGAAGUUUCGAACCCAGUUAACUGAUAAACGAUUUCGAUUCUCAACGGUCCAUUUUUUUCAUCUACAAGGCAUGCGGCAAUUUUAAGUUUUAAACCUAGUUAACUGGAAUUGAAAUUGAACCGACUCAUUUACUGGAUGAUAUUAUCGGCUCUAGUUUUCCCUUCCUAAGCCUGAGUAUGCUACAUCAUCACAGCGGCUGCUGCUCCGCCUCCGCUGGCGAAGACGAAAGCCGGAAGUGAGGCUUCGGUCUUGACCAUGCUUUAGGGUUCAAACAAUUCGAUUCGAAUGGCGUUGGAAGUAGCUCAAUUCAAAUUACUGAUUGAAUCGUGCAAUUUUGUUCACAUGUCCCUAUCUUAUUUAACUUGCGACUUAACACCAGAUCCUUAUUACAAGGAAUGAAGAUUUUUUGAACGAGAUUCACACACACAUGUAUAUUGGAUAUAUUCACAACAAGAGAUGAAAAAGUGAUUGCAAGCUGAUGGCCCUCACUUUUUUGGUAUGAAACUCAAAAAGCAAAGGAGAGAAGCCUACUCUAAAUUUAGUGGGGGCUAAUAAGACAUGAUGAUCACGACGAUGCUAUUGCCAAGAAUCCCAAAUCCUUGCAUGGUUGAAUUUUGACCAGAUGCUGGCGGUUCCAUUUGAGAGCAUGAGGUUACUGUCAUCGUGGUUGAGGGUUUCGGAGUCUAUGGGCAAGCCAUUAUUGAUGGACCAAAUGAGUCGGAGUACACGAUGAUAGCAGUGAAGGUAGGAGAAGAAAUUUGGCACUGUAGCCUAGUCAUCUGCAUUCCAUGAAUUUGAGUAUAUCCUCAUUGGCUGGUUCUUUAGGAAUGGCACACCAAUGGACAUGCACUCCUCAAUGCUUAGCUUCCUGUUCCUUCAUGCCUUCUAUAUUAAUAAGCUUGUGCAAAGGUGAGCCAUAUGGAUAGGGAGAGAUAUAGAGAGAGAAGGGAGAGAGAUGCAUUCGUGUGUGUGGGAGAGAAAGAGAAGUGAGAAACCAUGCAGCUCAUCGAGGCUCAUCGACACAGUGAUCAGAGGUGGAGCUUGGAGAGAGAGAAGGAGAGAUGUUAGGGAGGAGAGAGUUAGUUGGUGAGGUGUAAAAAAAAAUAAUAAAAAAAAAUAUAAAGUGGAUCUCAUCAUUAUAUUUUAUUAUUAAAAACGGAAAGAUCAACAAAUUGCGGGACAUAAUUGACUUAGAAUUGAGUUUAGGGUUUCCAGUAAUAUUUCAAGUAAAGUUAAGAAAUAAAAAUGAUCCUUAACUUUUAUUUUUAUAACAUAUAGGUUCAUAUUGGAAGGUGACCUUAUUUUUAUCAAGACAAGAAUGGUGUGACUUGCUUAACAAUGCAUCUCUUUUGACCCACAAUUAGUUUUUAGGUUUUGUUUGCUGUAAGUUUUUCAUGUUUUUCUUUGCUCCUUACUCCCACAAAUAAUUAAGAGUGUUAUAAUAAUGUGCUUUUGGUUUUAGUUGUAAUCAUUGAAUCUUGUGGAGAUCGAAUUUUCAUUGGUUCUUUUUGACAGUUUGGUGCAUCUUAAUUCUCAUUCUAAUUCACCAUGUUGUCUCUGACAUUUUCGUAGUUAUAUACUUUGCUUGGCAUCAUUCUUUAUCCUCUAUAUAUCACUACAAAGUUUUGUUUUGUCCUUUAGGGGACAAAUUUUCUAUAAAAACUUUAUGUCAAGACAGUAUAAUUGAUGAUUGACUUUAGAAGUGAACGAAAUAAGUAGAUAUGAUUAUUCUUUAACUUCUGUAUCAACCUUUUUUUGGUUGUACUUGUAGAGUCUUCUCGGUACAGUACAACUGUACAAGUAUAAAUGCAUAUUGCACCUUGUUGUGGUAGAAAAUACUCUAUAUGUUAACAUCCCCUCUCUGCUUUUUCCUUUUGGAGAUCUUACAUGAGACUUGACAUCAUAUACCGAAAUCCAAAUUUUGUUAUUAAUCCAUUGGAAUUCCUGCUAAAUGUUCUUUCCUAAUCCAUACUAAACCUUUCAAUACUGGUAUUCUUUUUUCUUUUAUUAGUCUAUAUAUGAUUGUUAGGGUGGAGGGUUCUUCAUGCUGGGUUCUUUUAUCUUUUAUUAGUUUAUUUGCUAUUUUUAUUUUCUUUAUCAUUGAUUAGUUUAGGGACAUAAUACGUGUUAAUCAAGCUGUGAGAGUAGUUAGAAUUUUUAUGUUUAUUUUCUUUAUCAUAGAAUUGUAAGAGUAGUUAGAAUUUUACCGUAGUAUAGUGUAUUUUAAAUCUAGAUUUUGACCAUUCAAAGAACAUGGCGAUGUUAAUCAAGCUGGGAACAAAUCUCAAAGGGUAUCCAUCCAAAGAAAGCAAUUGAAGUGGAACCUUGGUAUUGUCUAAUUUUCUAGUUUUCCUAAACUUAAUGUAAAAUUUUUUAAUACUAUGCAAUUUCCUAUGCAUGCACGAGUUCGUCCAUCAUGAACUUUUUUUUUUUUCCUUUUCGUAAAAUGCCAUGUGUCAAUUUUCCCAUUCUAUGUCUCUUUGGUGCAUAGUGCAUUCACGUAUUAGACAUUUUUUAUGUUUGACAGGGAUUCGUGGUACUGGCUUGGGAGGGUAAAAUUUUAACCAAUAAUGGUAUGAUUGGGGGUAUCAAUUGAAAAAUGCUUUGGUGGUGAGAUUCAAUCCUUCUUCAUGACAAGCAUUACAGCUAGCCACCUCCUUCUUCAUGACAAUCAUGACAAGCUUCAUGAUGGACGGAAUCCAAAUCCUUGCUGUAAAUGGUUGACGGAAUCCUUGCUGACUUAGCCACCUCCUAACAACAUCAAAGGAGCUUUUGCAAAUGCAGUGAAUGUUUAUUUUAAAUUUUAUCAUUUUAUCUUCCCAACUCCAUUAAAGGAAAUUCAAAAACAAUACCUCACUCUUUUAUUCUUGGUUUCUUGUGUCGUUGUCACUUUCCUUGAGACUUAAUUCUUGUUUUCUUUAUUUCAUCCAAAUCAGUACAAAAAUUGUCACUUUCCUUUA